GACGAACGCUGGCGGCGUGCUUAACGCAUGCAAGUCGAACGGAAAGGCCCUGCUUUUGUGGGGUGCUCGAGUGGCGAACGGGUGAGUAACACGUGAGUAACCUGCCCUUGACUUUGGGAUAACUUCAGGAAACUGGGGCUAAUACCGGAUAGGAGCUCCUGCUGCAUGGUGGGGGUUGGAAAGCUUCGGCGGUUGGGGAUGGACUCGCGGCUUAUCAGCUUGUUGGUGGGGUAGUGGCUUACCAAGGCUUUGACGGGUAGCCGGCCUGAGAGGGUGACCGGCCACAUUGGGACUGAGAUACGGCCCAGACUCCUACGGGAGGCAGCAGUGGGGAAUAUUGCACAAUGGGCGGAAGCCUGAUGCAGCAACGCCGCGUGCGGGAUGACGGCCUUCGGGUUGUAAACCGCUUUCGCCUGUGACGAAGCGUGAGUGACGGUAAUGGGUAAAGAAGCACCGGCUAACUACGUGCCAGCAGCCGCGGUGAUACGUAGGGUGCGAGCGUUGUCCGGAUUUAUUGGGCGUAAAGGGCUCGUAGGUGGUUGAUCGCGUCGGAAGUGUAAUCUUGGGGCUUAACCCUGAGCGUGCUUUCGAUACGGGUUGACUUGAGGAAGGUAGGGGAGAAUGGAAUUCCUGGUGGAGCGGUGGAAUGCGCAGAUAUCAGGAGGAACACCAGUGGCGAAGGCGGUUCUCUGGGCCUUUCCUGACGCUGAGGAGCGAAAGCGUGGGGAGCGAACAGGCUUAGAUACCCUGGUAGUCCACGCUGUAAACGGUGGGUACUAGGUGUGGGGUCCAUUCCACGGGUUCCGUGCCGUAGCUAACGCUUUAAGUACCCCGCCUGGGGAGUACGGCCGCAAGGCUAAAACUCAAAGGAAUUGACGGGGCCCCGCACAAGCGGCGGAGCAUGCGGAUUAAUUCGAUGCAACGCGUAGAACCUUACCUGGGUUUGACAUGGAUCGGGAGUGCUCAGAGAUGGGUGUGCCUCUUUUGGGGUCGGUUCACAGGUGGUGCAUGGCUGUCGUCAGCUCGUGUCGUGAGAUGUUGGGUUAAGUCCCGCAACGAGCGCAACCCUUGUUCACUGUUGCCAGCACGUUAUGGUGGGGACUCAGUGGAGACCGCCGGGGUCAACUCGGAGGAAGGUGGGGAUGACGUCAAGUCAUCAUGCCCCUUAUGUCCAGGGCUUCACGCAUGCUACAAUGGCUGGUACAGAGAGUGGCGAGCCUGUGAGGGUGAGCGAAUCUCGGAAAGCCGGUCUCAGUUCGGAUUGGGGUCUGCAACUCGACCUCAUGAAGUCGGAGUCGCUAGUAAUCGCAGAUCAGCAACGCUGCGGUGAAUACGUUCCCGGGGCU
rnacentral:rRNA from 1 species